rnacentral:rRNA from 1 species
GACAGAGGUGCCGAGCGUUAGGCGGAAUCACUGGGCUUAAAGCGCGUGUAGGCGGCUUGACAAGUCUGCUGUGAAAGUCCAGGGCUCAACCCUGGAAUGCCGGUGGAAACUGUCAAGCUAGAGUCCGGAAGAGGCGAGUGGAAUUCCUGGUGUAGCGGUGAAAUGCGCAGAUAUCGGGAGGAACACCGGUGGCGAAGGCGGCGACCUGGGUCGAGACUGACGCUGAGGCGCGAAAGCGUGGGGAGCAAACAGG